GAUAGUUCUACAAUGUCCAAGUCGUUCCAGCAGUCAUCUCUCGGUAGGGAUUCGCAGGGUCAUGGACGUGACCUGUCUGCAGCAGGAAUAGGCCUUCUUGCUUCUGCUCCCCAGUUUUUAAUUAUGCCAGCAUCUCUUGGAAGGAUGAAGCAGGGUACUACAUGCCUUGCUAGUUUAAUGAAUCUUGGAAUGAGUUGUUCAUUGAAUCAAUGAGGAACUCAUAGUACAUUGUCUUCUGCUAGUACUUCUUUCCAUACUUUGCAGUAGAUAUUUAACACUGGAAGUAGAAGUCCACUUCCUUUGUCUUCUCAACACCGUGGAAAUGCAGACCAGGCCAGUAACAUUUUGGCCAGCUUUGGUCUGUCUGCUAGAGACUUAGAUGAACUGAGUCAUUAUCCAGAGGACAAGAUUACUCGUGAGAAUUUGCCCCAAAUCCUUCUACAGCUUAAAAGGAGGAGAACUGAAGAAGGCCCUACAUUGAGUUAAGGUAGAGAUGGCAGAUCUGCUACACGGGAGCCACCAUACAGAGUACCUAGGGAUGAUUGGGAAGAAAAAAAGGCACUUCAGAAGAGAUAGUUUUGAUGACCAUGGUCCAACCCAGUGCUUGAUUAUGACCAUGGAAUUCGUUCUCAAGAAUCUGGUUAUCAUGACAGAAUGGAUUAUGAAGAUGACAGAUUAAGAGAUGGAGAAAGGUGAGACCUCGCAUAACUAUCAUAAAUUUGACAGUGAGUAUGAGAGAAUGGGACAUGGUCCUGGGCCCUUACAAGAGAGAUCUCUCUUUGAGAAAAAGAGAGGUGCUCCUCCAAGUAGCAAUACUGACAACUUCCAUGGACUCUUACCGAAGAAGGGUUAUCCCCAUCUGUGCUCUAUAUGUGAUUUGCCAGUUCAUUGUAAUAAGGAGUGGAGUCAACAUAUCAAUGGAACAAGUCACAGUCAGCAAUGCCAGCUGCUGCUUGAAAUCUACCCUGAAUGGAAUCCCGACAAUGAUACGGGACACACAAUGGGUGAUCCAUUCAUGCUGCAGCAGUCUAAAACCCAGCACCAGGAAUUCUGGGACCCCCACCUCCUUCAUUUUAUCUUGGUGGACCAGCUGCUGUUGGACCAAGAGGAAAUCUGGGUGCUGGAAAUGGAAACCUGCAAGGACCAAGACACAUGCAAAAAAGCAGAGUAGAAACUAGCCGAGUUGUUCACAUCAUGGAUUUUCAGCAAGGGAAAAACUUGAGGUACCAACUUUUACAGCUGGUGGAACCAUUUGGAGUCAUUUCAAACCAUCUGAUUCUAAAUAAAAUUAAUGAGGCAUUUGUUGAAAUGUCAACUACAGAAGAUGCUCAGGCUGCUGUGGAUUAUUACACAACUACACCAGCAUUAGUAUUUGGCAAGCCAGUGAGAGUUCAUUCAUCACAGAAGUAUAAAAGAAUAAAGAAACCUGAAGGAAAGCCAGACCAGAAAUUUGAUCAAAAGCAAGAGCUUGGACGUGUGAUACAUCUCAGCAAUUUACUCCAUUCUGGUUAUUCUGACAGUGCUUUCCUCAAACUUGCUGAGCCCUAUGGGAAAAUAAAGAAUACUAUUUUGAUGAGGAUGAAAAGUCAGGCCUUUAUUGAGAUGGAGACCAGAGAAGAUGCAAUGGCAAUGGUUGAUCAAUGUUUGAAAAAAGCUCUUUGGUUUCAGGGGAGAUGUAUGAAGGUUGACCUGUCUGAGAAAUACAAAAAAUUGGUACUGAGGAUUCCCAACAGAGGAACUGACUUACUCAAAAAAGAUAAAUCUCAAAAAAGAUCUUAUUCUCCAGAUGGUAAAGAAUCUCCAAGUGAUAAGAAAUCCAAAACUGAUGGUUCCCAGAAGACUGAAAGUACAGCUGAAGGUAAAGAACAAGAAGAGAAGUCAGGUGAUGAUUGUGAGAAAGAUACAAAGGAUGACCAGACAGAACAAGAACCUAGCCUGCUUCUUGAAUCUGAAGAUGAGCUACUUGUAGAUGAAGAAGAAGCUGCAGCACUACUAGAAAGUGGCAGUUCAGUGGGAGAUGAGGCAAAUCUUGCUAAUUUAGGUGAUGUGGCCUCUGAUGGGAAAAAGGACCCUUCAGACAAAGCUGGGAAAAAAGAUGCAGCAAAGAAGAAGCUCAAAAAGGUGGACAAAAUCGAGGAACUUGAUCAAGAAAACGAAGAAGCGUUGGAAAAUGGAAUUAAAAAUGAGGAAAAUAGAGAGACAGGUGCUGAAUCUGAGAAUGCUGAUGAUCCUAACAAAGAUACAAGUGAAAAAGCAGCUGGCCAAAGUGAUGAUCACAAGGAGGAGUAUACUAUGCCAGAUGAGUAUAGAACUGGACCAUGUCAGCCCAGGGUUUCCAUUGGUAUAGACUAUGUGAUACCUAAAACGGGGUUUUACUAUCAGCUGUGUUCACUCUUUUAUACAAAUGAAGAUGUUGCAAAGAAUACUCAUUGCAGCAGCCUUCCUCAUUAUCAGAAAUUAAAGAGAUUUCUGAAUAAAUUAUCUGAAGAGCGCAGACAGAAGAAGGAAGCUUGAGAUGUGCAAGAAGUUUAAUGAUUUCAAAGAAAAUAAUGGUUUUUGGUUUUUAAUGUUAACCUUUUUUAAACAAUACAGAUAGUGAGAAGAAAUAUAUUGUACUCUUUUGUUUUAGUGGAAUAAUACUUAGAUGUCUCUUCAUGUGUUUAAAUGUUAUAGCAAAAAUACAUAUACAGUUAAGUUAAUGAAGAGCAGAUUUUGUUUUAUAAGAAUGGCAACAGACAGAGUCACUUUGUUUAGAAAUUUAUGUUGUAAGCUACUAAAGAUAAAUUGCACCACUAAGGAGAAAAAGAUGUAGAAACAUUUAGAGAAAUGAAAUGUAGUCGUUCUAAGCUUCAAAGAAAUGUCAAAACUGCUGAUUCCAUUCAAUAAAGAACAAAACCAAUUGUAUUUUUAUUACUUUCAUUUGAAACAUUCCACAUUUUAAUCUGAGCCUUAGCAGACUUUUCA